rnacentral:rRNA from 1 species
AGAUUGAACGCUGGCGGCAUGGCUAAACAUGCAAGUCGAAUGUGAAGGGAGCAAUCCCUGAAAAUGGCGAAAGGGCGAGUAAUAUAUUUCUAACGUACCCCGGACUCGACAAUAGUUCGCCGAAAGGUGAGGUAAUAGUCGAUGAUGCUGCUGGGCUGUAUGGCCUGGUUGCCAAAGGUUUACUGGUCUGGGAGCGGGGAAUAUCCUAUCAGGUAGUUGGUGAGGUAAUGGCUCACCAAGCCUAAGACGGGUAGCGGGUGUGAGAGCACGGCCCGCCGCAUCGGGACUGAGACACUGCCCGGACUCCUACGGGAGGCUGCAGUAACGAAUAUUCCGCAAUGCACGAAAGUGUGACGGAGCGAUGCCGCGUGCAGGAUGAAGCCCCUGGGGUGUAAACUGCUGUCAGGGUAUAGCAAACAAUGAGCAAACCAAAGGAAGAGACGGCUAACUCUGUGCCAGCAGCCGCGGU